CCUGUAAUCCCAGCUACUCAGGAGGCUGAGGCAGGAGAAUUGCCUGAACCCAGGAGGCGGAGGUUGCAGUGAGCCUAGAUUGCGUCACUACAAUC